rnacentral:rRNA from 1 species
UCAGGACGAUGCGUCAUGCAUAUCAAUAAGCGGAGGAAAAGAAACUAACAAGGAUUCCCCUAGUAACGGCGAGUGAAGCGGGAAGAGCUCAAAUUUGAAAUCUUAAAGGGUUUCCCUUUACGAAUUGUAGUUUAAAGAAGUGUUUUCUGUUGAGGUUUUGGUAAAAGUUCUUUGGAAUAGGACAUCAUAGAGGGUGAGAAUCCCGUAUUUGACCUUUACUUUCAACUUUGUGAUACACUUUCAAAGAGUCGGAUUGUUUGGGAAUGCAGUCCAAAAUGGGUGGUAAAUUUCAUCUAAAGCUAAAUAUUGGCGAGAGACCGAUAGCGAACAAGUACCGUGAGGGAAAGAUGAAAAGAACUUUGAAAAGAGAGUUAAACAGUACGUGAAAUUGUCAAAAGGGAAGCGUUUGACACCAGUGUUGUUUUUCUGAAAAUCAAUUAAAGAACUGUUUAUGCUAAGCUGUUUAGACUUUAUCAGCUAUCUGUUUAGUUUUGAGCUUUUCUUUAAUGCACUUUUCAGUUAACAAGUCAACAUCAAUUUCUUUUGCUGUAAAAAAGCUUGAGGAAGGUGGCUUGAGAUUCGUCUUAAGUGUUUAUAGCCUCUUGCCUAUGCAGUCGGAGAGAUUGAGGUCUGCAGCGUAGAUCCUUCGGGGCUAAAUGCAUUUGUGCUAAGUUAUAGCAUUUUAUAGACAACUUGUUGACUAUGAUUUGUCUUGUAGCUUACUCGCUUAUGUUAUUUUACCUACGCUUAGGAUGUUGAAUCUGUGCGAGACUAC